GUAGGUGAACCUGCGGAAGGAUCAUUACCACACCUC
rnacentral:rRNA from 2 species